UGAGGAAUAUUGGUCAAUGGACGCAAGUCUGAACCAGCCAAGUAGCGUGCAGGAUGACGGUUCUAUGGGUUGUAAACUGCUUUUAUAUUUGGAUAAAGUGGGUUACGUGUUUUCUUUUGCUGGUACCAUCUGCUUAAGGAUCGGCCUAUUUCCUGCCAGCAGCCGCGGUUACACGGAAGGUUCGGGCGUUAUCUGGAUUUUUUGGGUUUAAGGGGAGCGUAGGCCGUUUGGUAAGCGUGUUGUGAAAUGUAGGGGCUCAACUUCUGGAAUGCAGCGGGAACUGUCAGAAUUGAGUGCGCAGAGCGUAGGCGGAAUUCAUUGUGUAGCGGUCAAAUGAGUAGAUAUCAUGAAGACCUCCGAUUGGGAAGGCAGCUUACGGGAGAGCAACUAACGCUGAAGCUCGAAGAAGCGAGUAUCGAACAGG
rnacentral:rRNA from 1 species